GGCAGUAUGGUGCAGUGGCUAGCAUCCUCUUUCAUAGUUCUUCUUCGAAAGAGUCUUUGGUUCGACUCCAAUGCUGUCA